rnacentral:rRNA from 1 species
GGGGCCUACGGGACGCAGCAGUGAGGAAUAUUGGUCAAUGGGCGGGAGCCUGAACCAGCCAAGUCGCGUGAAGGAAGAAGGUACUUAGUAUUGUAAACUUCUUUUGUCGGGGAACAAAGGCGGAGACGCGUCUCCGGAUGAGCGUACCCGAAGAAAAAGCAUCGGCUAACUCCGUGCCAGCAGCUGCGGUAAUACGGAGGAUGCGAGCGUUAUCCGGAUUUAUUGGGUUUAAAGGGUGCGCAGGCGGGAGAUAAAGUCAGCGUGUAAAUGUCGGGGCACAAACCCGGCCGGCCGUUGAAACUGGG